rnacentral:rRNA from 1 species
GAUAAACGCUGGCGGCAUGCCUUACACAUGCAAGUCGAACGGCAGCACGGGAGCAAUCCUGGUGGCGAGUGGCGAACGGGUGAGUAAUAUAUCGGAACGUGCCCAGUCGUGGGGGAUAACGCAGCGAAAGCUGUGCUAAUACCGCAUACGAUCUAUGGAUGAAAGCGGGGGAUCGCAAGACCUCGCGCGAUUGGAGCGGCCGAUAUCAGAUUAGGUAGUUGGUGGGGUAAAAGCCCACCAAGCCGACGAUCUGUAGCUGGUCUGAGAGGACGACCAGCCACACUGGAACUGAGACACGGUCCAGACUCCUACGGGAGGCAG